rnacentral:rRNA from 1 species
ACCUGGUUGAUUCUGCCAGUAGUCAUACGCUCGUCUCAAAGAUUAAGCCAUGCAUGUCUAAGUAUAAGCUUUUAUACGGUGAAACUGCGAAUGGCUCAUUAAAUCAGUUAUAGUUUAUUUGAUGGUCUUGUACUCGGAUACCUGUUGGAAUCCAAGAGCUAAUACGUGCGCAA